rnacentral:lncRNA from 1 species
GGAUAACAUCACACCAACAAUGUUAACUUUAUACAAGUAUUUGUCAAGAAAAAAAUAGGGCAUCUCCUCCACCAUUCACAAGCUUAUGUGUUGUUUUAUUUUCUUCUUGAGUCCCUGAUAAAAUAAGUCAUUAAACCAUAAAAUUUUUCCACUUCAAAUUUUCAGAAGGCAACAGGCACUUUGAUGUAUAUUGGUGUGUAACAAAUAUAGUAACUCUUUAUAUAUUCUACUAUCUCUCUUCUACUUGGGUAUUUUUAUCUGGUAAAUCUUUGGUCCUUGAGCAUACUUUCUUUGCUACAGCUGUUUUUGCUUGCAUUUUCACAUUUUAAAAAAUGUGAGCUAUGCACGCAGCUGGAAAUAAUGGAUUGUGUCAUCAUAAGUUCUGCUGUUUGUUAUGAGAACUGCACCAACCUACUACUGUUCACUUGGAGCAAGCCAUUUCUAUUAGCGCAAUGGGAGAGUUCCACAGAUAGUAUUCACUACAAGCCUCAGCAAUCCCAAUGUUGGUGUACCCCUUCUUUCUGUACCAUUGUUACUAUCUGAACUCCUGAAUUGAUAAUUAAGUUGGAGGGAGA